AUGUCAGCUCUGUUUGAAAUAUUAGUCACUCACUUUCAAGAUAUUUUACAUGCUCUAGAAGGCAAGGAAGAAGAGUUCGUAAGCCACAGAAUGUCCCCCGGUCAUCAGUUCAUCGCUGUGGUCUGGGUCGGAGGUGACAGGAAGGUGUCAAUGCUGGCACCAAGGAUUCCUCGCCUGAGAGAGCUCAGGACAAUGCUGCUCAAUCCGCUGGCUGCUGGAGAAGCACCUGGAGGCCUUGUCACAUGGCAGGUGCCACCUGGCGAGCCCCGGGCGGAACUAAGGUGCUGCGCGUCUCACAAGGUAAGGCCGACACUGCCUGCCCCACGACCACAUUUCACAUCACAAAAGACACUGGAGACAUUUUUCUUUUAGGGCAGCAAGCCAAAAUCUCUGUAACAGAGGAAAAGCCGGGGUCGGGGUCGGUGCUGCUCACUAGGAAAAGGGCCCAGCCAUUUUUUGAAUAUGUUCUGCCAGUUGCAAAAGCCACGUACUGGAGAUUUGAAAAUACUGAGCCAAACUUCCAUCAGAAUGAGCUGAGAUGACAGGCUAGGGGCUAGGGUGAGACAGAGGGCUGGAACUCAGGGACCUGCCCUGAGGCUGAUUGGGAAGUUGUGUUGGGUCGUCUGUCUUGGAGGUAAGAGGUGUGUCAUGUGUGUGUGUGUGGAGUGACGUUCUUAAAAAGCACCCCACUCUGGCCUCGCACGGGAUUCUGGGGCUCAGAUAGACUUGGAGACCACCAGUCUGGAAGACCUCUUUGCAUCCUUCUGGGUCUUAAAUUCUGGACAAGCUCCUUUAUUCAACACAGAUACGCACCCACUGAUUUCCGUAUGCGAGAGAGAGUUUGCGGAUCUCUGUAGAUAGGAAUUAAAGCUCAGUAUGGGCUCUCACCCCCGCCAAGACCUCCCAGAGGAGGUUCACAAGCAAGCCCGUGUUAGAAUGCAAGGCAAAUAUUCUCCUGAGGCACGAAGUUGCUUCUCCUACUCUCUGUUAGUCUCCUGGAUCCUUAGAGGAGAGCCUCUGAGCUGUAACCGACUCCGCUGUUUCUUUCUCAGAUCAAAGCUGUAGCCCUCAUGGCCCACCUCAAGGCCACUCUUUUCUGGUUUUCGCUCACAGAGAGGAGUCUUCCUCCUGGUUGCAGAGCCUCGGAAUGUUUAGACUCCCUUUGGGAUAAUUUGAGUCUGUCAUCUUAAUUAGGAUGUCUUAAUUUUCCCGCGGGUCUCUUUUUUCCCCUUCAAUUUACAAUUUCUAUAAAAGGAUCCUGUUUCUUUGAAAUGUCCCUCCCUUCAUCUCCAAUCAGAGAUGAUCAUAUCUUUACACCCCACAUCCAGAUCAAGUUGUUUUCCUCCUACUUGUGUUUUUAAUAAUAUAUCUUCACUUAAUUAUACCCGUGCCCACGAGCUAACCCAGGGUAUGUCAGCUUUCCCCACCAAGUUCCUCUCAUUGUGGGCAGGAGAUGGGGAAGGAAGGUGCUCAUUAAAAUGGGGCCAGUGCUGCGGCGCAGCAGGUUAAAGCCCUGGCCUGCAGCGCCGGCAUCCCAUGUGGGCACCAGUUCGUGUCCUGGCUGCUCCACUUCCUAUCCAGCUCUCUGCCAUGGCCUGGGAAAGCAGCAGCAGAAGGCCCAAGUCCUUGGGCCCCUGCACCAUGUGGGAGACCCAGAAGAAGCUCCUGGCUCCUGGCUUCAGAUCAGCACAGCUCUGGCUGUUGCAGUCAAUUGGGGAGCGAACCAGCAGAUCUCUCUCUCUUUCUGGUUCUACAUCUCUCUGUAACUGUCUUUCAAAUAAAUAAAUCUUUGUUAAAAAGUGGAUUGGCCA
rnacentral:lncRNA from 1 species